GGGCCCGCACAAGCGGUGGAGCAUGUGGUUUAAUUCGAUGAUACGCGAGGAACCUUACCAGGGCUUAAAUGUAGUUUGACCGGUCUGGAAACAGACUUUCUCUUCGGAGCAGAUUACAAGGUGCUGCAUGGUUGUCGUCAGCUCGUGCCGUGAGGUGUUAGGUUAAGUCCUGCAACGAGCGCAACCCCUAUUCUUAGUUGCCAUCACGUUUGGGUGGGCACUCUAGGGAAACUGCCGGUGCUAAGCCGGAGGAAGGCGGGGAUGACGUCAAGUCCUCAUGGCCCUUACGGGUAGGGCUACACACGUGCUACAAUGGCAGUGACAGAGGGACGCUACCAGGUGACUGGAUGCAAAUCUCAAAAAGCUGUCUCAGUUCGGAUUGUUGUCUGCAACUCGACAACAUG
rnacentral:rRNA from 1 species